rnacentral:lncRNA from 1 species
UUCUUUGACAAAAUGGCAGAAACUUUGGUACUUCGCGGGACGUUGAAGGGUCACGCCAAUUGGGUGACGGCCAUCGCCUGCCCGCUCGACAACCCCGACCUCAUCCUUUCGUCGUCUCGUGACAAGAGUAUCAUCGUCUGGCACCUCUCUCGCGAGGAGGGCAACUACGGUGUCGCCCGCCGCCGUUUGACUGGCCACGCUCACUUCGUUCAAGAUGUCGUGAUUUCCUCUGACGGACAGUUUG